GCUCAGUGCAAUGGCUCAGACGGUGCCCAGCCCAGCCUGCUAGCAGCAGAGAGAUAAACUGGUAGGUGGCAGCAGAGAAAGGAGUUCUUCAGACUGAUGGCUGACAUUAAACCUGCGUAGGAGAAGAGAUAGCAUGAGCCAUACCACGUGGAGCAAGGCCCAGCAGAGAUGAGAGCUGGACUCGGGAAGCGGCCUCUUUACUGAAUGGUUCUCUCGAAGUAACCAGUGAUCUUCUGGAUGAAGACAGAUCUGUGUCACUUUUUAGAGUAGAAAAAGAAUGCAGAAUAAGAAAGAAUUCGUUAUAUCUUGUUGCACUCAGUUUUCUUUUUCUAAAUUAAAAA